rnacentral:rRNA from 1 species
GGACUGGCGGGCGUGCUAUACAUGCAAGUCGUACGCUUCUUUUUCCACCGGAGCUUGCUCCACCGGAAAAAGAAGAGUGGCGAACGGGUGAGUAACACGUGGGUAACCUGCCCAUCAGAAGGGGAUAACACUUGGAAACAGGUGCUAAUACCGUAUAACAAUCGAAACCGCAUGGUUUUGAUUUGAAAGGCGCUUUCGGGUGUCGCUGAUGGAUGGACCCGCGGUGCAUUAGCUAGUUGGUGAGGUAACGGCUCACCAAGGCCACGAUGCAUAGCCGACCUGAGAGGGUGAUCGGCCACAUUGGGACUGAGACACGGCCCAAACUCCUACGGGAGGCAGCAGUAGGGAAUCUUCGGCAAUGGACGAAAGUCUGACCGAGCAACGCCGCGUGAGUGAAGAAGGUUUUCGGAUCGUAAAACUCUGUUGUUAGAGAAGAACAAGGAUGAGAGUAACUGUUCAUCCCUUGACGGUAUCUAACCAGAAAGCCACGGCUAACUACGUGCCAGCAGCCGCGGUAAUACGUAGGUGGCAAGCGUUGUCCGGAUUUAUUGGGCGUAAAGCGAGCGCAGGCGGUUUCUUAAGUCUGAUGUGAAAGCCCCCGGCUCAACCGGGGAGGGUCAUUGGAAACUGGGAGACUUGAGUGCAGAAGAGGAGAGUGGAAUUCCAUGUGUAGCGGUGAAAUGCGUAGAUAUAUGGAGGAACACCAGUGGCGAAGGCGGCUCUCUGGUCUGUAACUGACGCUGAGGCUCGAAAGCGUGGGGAGCAAACAGGAUUAGAUACCCUGGUAGUCCACGCCGUAAACGAUGAGUGCUAAGUGUUGGAGGGUUUCCGCCCUUCAGUGCUGCAGCUAACGCAUUAAGCACUCCGCCUGGGGAGUACGACCGCAAGGUUGAAACUCAAAGGAAUUGACGGGGGCCCGCACAAGCGGUGGAGCAUGUGGUUUAAUUCGAAGCAACGCGAAGAACCUUACCAGGUCUUGACAUCCUUUGACCACUCUAGAGAUAGAGCUUCCCCUUCGGGGGCAAAGUGACAGGUGGUGCAUGGUUGUCGUCAGCUCGUGUCGUGAGAUGUUGGGUUAAGUCCCGCAACGAGCGCAACCCUUAUUGUUAGUUGCCAUCAUUCAGUUGGGCACUCUAGCAAGACUGCCGGUGACAAACCGGAGGAAGGUGGGGAUGACGUCAAAUCAUCAUGCCCCUUAUGACCUGGGCUACACACGUGCUACAAUGGGAAGUACAACGAGUCGCGAAGUCGCGAGGCUAAGCUAAUCUCUUAAAGCUUCUCUCAGUUCGGAUUGUAGGCUGCAACUCGCCUACAUGAAGCCGGAAUCGCUAGUAAUCGCGGAUCAGCACGCCGCGGUGAAUACGUUCCCGGGCCUUGUACACACCGCCCGUCACACCACGAGAGUUUGUAACACCCGAAGUCGGUGAGGUAACCUUUUGGAGCCAGCCGCCUAAGGUGCAUGAUG